UGGAAAGUCAAGAGAGUCUGCAUGAGGACCAUGACUGAUGAUGAAGAGGAGGAGGAAGUUGGGAAUGAGAGUUCUACGGUGAGUCAAGAGAAUCAAGAUGAGGACCCUGACAAUGAAGAGGAGGAAGAUAUGAAUGAGGAUAUUUCUGAGAGUGAGGAGAAUCCAGAUGAAUGCCAUGAAAAUGAAGAGGAGGAAGAUAUGAAUGAGGUAAUAUAUUCAUAUG